GACGAACCGAGCGAACGUUGUUCGGAAUCACUGGGCUUAAAGGGCGCGUAGGCGGGCUGCAAAGUCCGGGGUGAAAGCCCCCCGCUCAACGGGGGAACGGCCUCGGAUACUGGCGGCCUGGAGGCGGGUAGGGGCAGGCGGAACUGUGGGUGGAGCGGUGAAAUGCGUUGAGAUCCACAGGAACUCCGGUGGCGAAGGCGGCCUGCUGGACCCGAACUGACGCUGAGGCGCGAAAGCCAGGGGAGCGAACGGG
rnacentral:rRNA from 1 species